rnacentral:rRNA from 1 species
CUUUAAUGGAGAGUUUGAUCCUGGCUCAGGACGAACGCUGGCGGCGUGCCUAAUACAUGCAAGUCGAGCGCACAGAA